rnacentral:rRNA from 1 species
GACGAACGCUGGCGGCGUGCUUAACACAUGCAAGUCGAACGGAAAGACCCUGCUUUUGUGGGGUGCUCGAGUGGCGAACGGGUGAGUAACACGUGAGUAACCUGCCCUUGACUUUGGGAUAACUUCAGGAAACUGGGGCUAAUACCGGAUAGGAGCUCCUGCUGCAUGGUGGGGUUGGAAAGUUUCGGCGGUUGGGGAUGGACUCGCGGCUUAUCAGCUUGUUGGUGGGGUAGUGGCUUACCAAGGCUUUGACGGGUAGCCGGCCUGAGAGGGUGACCGGCCACAUUGGGACUGAGAUACGGCCCAGACUCCUACGGGAGGCAGCAGUGGGGAAUAUUGUACAAUGGGCGGAAGCCUGAUGCAGCAACGCCGCGUGCGGGAUGACGGCCUUCGGGUUGUAAACCGCUUUCGCCUGUGACGAAGCGUGAGUGACGGUAAUGGGUAAAGAAGCACCGGCUAACUACGUG